UCAGGCAGAUGUGAGAUUGCCUGUCUUGUUUUAAGAAUUGCACUAUGAUCUGUGUGUUUUGUAUGUGUUUACAGCUCGCACCAUAGCAACGGCCUCCCCCGCCCCCUGCAUGACGGCACUGGGAGCUCGCGUCACGGACCAGGGUCACCUGACCGGAAGCGCUGAGUCCGGAAGUCGGGCAGCGGCGAGGAGAGCACGGCUGGAAGCGCGCCUGAUCAUCUGGCAAAGAGAUUUGCAGAGUGUCGGGUGACCGGCAAAGAGAUCUGCAAAGUGUCAGUUGAAGAUGACGGGAGGGGUCGCAGAGGUAGCAACGACUGGAGUAUAACAUGCAGGAGAUCAUCAUUUGGCAAAGUUCUGGCAAAGAGAUUUGCAGAGUGUCGGGUGACCAGCAAAGAGAUCUGCAAAGUGUCAGUUGAAGACGACGGGAGGGGUCGCAGAGGUAGCAAUGACUGGAGUAUAACAUGCAGGAGUGGGUGAUCCCUGAAUAGUUGCCCUGGGAGGAGAGCUGCGGACACAUGCUCCAAAUGUUGGGACAUAUGCAUUACCUAUUAGGAGAUGCGGUAAAGAUGCCGACUGUCGGGUUUACGGCAGUCAGAAUACUGACACUUGGAUCCCGACACUCUUCAGAAUCCCGACGUUGGAACUCCGAAUGGGCAAGGAUACCGAUGCUCGUAUCCCCACGAUCAUAGGUUUAGGGCUGGGCAAGGGGGGCUAGGUUUAGGCAU